rnacentral:SRP_RNA from 1 species
GCCGGGCGUGGUGGCGCACACCUGUAGUCCCAGCUACUUGGGGGGCUGAGGCAGGAGAAUCGCUUGAACCUGGGAAGCAGAGGUUGUAGUGAGCUGAGAUCACGCCAUUGCACUCCAGCAUGGGCAACAAAAAAAGAAAAGAAAAGAAUAGAAUAAAAUAAAAUAAAAAUAAAAUAAAAUAAAAGAGAUUGCAAAAGGUUUUUCUUUACCUUUUUUUUUUUUAGACGGAGUCUCGCUCUGUCACCCAGGCUAGAGUGCAAUGGCGUGAUCUCCACUCACUGCAACCUCCACCUCCCGGGCUCAAGCGAUUCUCCUGUCUCAG